CGGUAAUAGCUCAAAUUUGAAAUCUGGCCUCUCGGGGUCCGAGUUGUAAUUUGUAGAGGAUGUUUUGGGUACCGCCCCGGUCUAAAUUUCUUGGAACAGGACGUCAUAGAGGGUGAGAAUCCCGU
rnacentral:rRNA from 1 species